GUGGGAAAUUUUGGACAAUGGGCGCAAGCCUGAUCCAGCAAUGCCGCGUGCAGGAAGAAGGCCUUCGGGUUGUAAACUGCUUUUGUACGGAACGAAACGGUCCUGGUUAAUACCUGGGGCUAAUGACGGUACCGUAAGAAUAAGCACCGGCUAACUACGUGCCAGCAGCCGCGGUAAUACGUAGGGUGCGAGCGUUAAUCGGAAUUACUGGGCGUAAAGCGUGCGCAGGCGGUGCUGUAAGACAGGCGUGAAAUCCCCGGGCUCAACCUGGGAAUUGCGCUUGUGACUGCAGUGCUGGAGUACGGCAGAGGGGGAUGGAAUUCCGCGUGUAGCAGUGAAAUGCGUAGAUAUGCGGAGGAACACCGAUGGCGAAGGCAGUCCCCUGGGCCUGUACUGACGCUCAUGCACGAAAGCGUGGGGAGCAAACAGGAUUAGAAACCCCUGUAGUCC
rnacentral:rRNA from 1 species